rnacentral:rRNA from 1 species
AACGAACGCUGGCGGCAUGCCUAACACAUGCAAGUCGAACGAGACCUUCGGGUCUAGUGGCGCACGGGUGCGUAACGCGUGGGAACCUGCCCUUAGGUUCGGAAUAACUCCCCGAAAGGGGUGCUAAUACCGGAUAAUGUCUUCGGACCAAAGAUUUAUCGCCUUUGGAUGGGCCCGCGUUGGAUUAGCUAGUUGGUAGGGUAAAAGCCUACCAAGGCGACGAUCCAUAGCUGGUCUGAGAGGAUGAUCAGCCACACUGGGACUGAGACACGGCCCAGACUCCUACGGGGGGCAGGAGUGGGGAAUAUUGGACAAGGGGCGAAAGCCUGAUCCAGCAAGGCCGGGGGAGUGAUGAAGGCCUUGGGGUUGUAAAGCUUUUUUACCCGGGAUGAUAAUGACAGUACCGGGAGAAUAAGCCCCGGCAAACUCCGU